rnacentral:rRNA from 1 species
GAGGAAUGUAUAGCAAUAGCUAAUUGCAUCAAUAAUUGAUGCAAUAUCGACUCUGUCGAAUAAAAUUCUAGGUAGAAUUAUGAUAAUGACAUUGUCUGCCUAUGUGUCUUGACCAAAUUACGUGCCAGCAGUCGCGGUAAUACGUAGGAGACUAGUGUUAUUCAUCUUUAAUAGGUUUAAAGGGUACCUAGACGGUAAAUCAAGCCUGCAUUAAGGGACUAAUGUACUAGAGUUACUUACGAGGGGGCAUUGAAGUACUAAUGGUGUAGAGAUGAAAUUCGGUCAUACCUUUAUUGUGGCGGAUACUAUGGCACUGGUAUAGGCGAAGGCGUCCCCUUAUGUGAUAACUGACGUUGAAGGACGAAGGCUUUGUGUAGCGAACAGGAUUAGAUACCCCAGUAGUCAAAGCAGAAAAUGAUGAAUGUCAUAGAUUAGACAUCUAAUAGUUUAUUCUAUAAAUGAAAGUGUAAGCAUUCCACCUCAAGAGUAAUUUGGCAACAUUGGAACUGAAAUCAUUAGACCGUUUCUGAAACCAGUAGUGAAGUAUGUUGUUUAAUUUGAUAGUCCGCAAAAAACCUUACCACAAUUUGAAUAUUUACAUUUUUAUUCCCUAUUUAUAGGGAAGAGAAAUAUAUUUACAAGCGUUGCACGGCUGUCUACAGUUAAUGUCGUGAGAUUCUGGUUAGUUCCAUUAAAUAACGUAAACCCUUACUUUAUUUNUUAUAU